AAUCAGAGAAAGAAAAUUUUUUAAAGUAUUUAACAGCCAAAUAGCACAAAGAUUAUAUGUGUACUGUGUUGGGUGUACAUGCACGCUCUGUCAAAUUACUCACUACAUUGAUAUUUUGUAGAUUGUCUUUGCUGGCCUCAGCAUUUCCAUAGAAAAUGAACAUGAAAAAAUUGGUAGAGAGAGAAAUGAGACAGAAAGCAAGGCGAAACACAGAGGAAACAAGAAUUGAGGAGAAAAGAGUACCAAGUUCUGGAAAUACGCUGGGUGAACAUACAGGGGUUAAGGGAAGCUGUAUUUUCUUUUUCAGCAAGCCUGCACCGUACCUGUACAAGUCAGGUAAAUGGGCUGUAGUAGAUAGUAAAGAGUCAUCCUGGAAAAGUAGAUACCAAUACAAAUCUCAAAGAAAAAAAAAGCAACAACUGGGUACUCUUCACUCCCCUUAGUCUACUUCCUCCACCUAAAAUAUCAGGAUCGUAAUCAAACAAAUUAAAUAGGAUACAGAAUGUUUAGUUGGCAAUGAUGCCAAAGUGAUUGGAAGUCUCUGAUAAAAUAAAGAACUACCAGGUGAAAAAAAGGCAAACCUACUUACACAUACCACUUAAUACUAGGGGAUCUGUUAUAUAAUGCAUCCUAACAUACAUUCAAUGUUUAUAUGAUUAAUCUAGUGAAUGCUUACAGAAACCUUGUACUUUCUUGCAUUAAAAAAAAAAACCACAACCAAACAAUAAGAGGUGGUACUUCAAAAAUAUCAAAUAUUGGCCAAAAAAUAUUGCCAGCAAUCUUUUUAUGGAUGUAUGAGCAUCACCAGCCCUCCUUCAUGAGGAACAUCACCAUUAAAAGAUUUCUGGUUUUAGCAGGGAAUUUGGUGAUUGAAGAGAGACUUUUAUGAGCUAAAUACCUUGUUACAGCUCAGAGUUGCCAUCAGAAAUAACUGCAAUUUGUGAAAAUUCUAUCUGUUUGGCAAUGCUAGAGAAUUAUGGAAAGAUUUAAACUGAAAGGCAUAUCUGGAAGUCAUAGAGUUUAACUUUCUGUUUCAAGCAGGGCUAAUCUCAAAACUACAUCAUGUUGCUCAGGGCAUCAUCCAGUCAAGUUUUGCAAGUGUCAA